ACAAGAAGCCGAGAAAGAAGAAGCCAAAAUCGGAGGCCGAGGAUCCUGAGCCAGAGAAUGACCCCUACGCCAAGUUCAACAAAGACCCCAAGAAGAAGAAGGAGAACCCAGCAUCCUAUUUCACUGUUGGGAAAACGUGCAAAAAACAGCAGCAAGAGGAGUCUAGGGGUGAGGAUGAUGAGAACCAGGAGGAAGAGACAUUAGUGGUGACGGCCACAAAUCGUGCGAAAAAGAAAGUGUCAAGGGAGAAAACAUCUAAACAGAAAGAACCAGACAAGGAUGAGCCCGAGUCCAAGGCCAGAGGGAAACCCAGCAAAACUCCCAGGAAGGAGACGACCUUAACCUUUCAGGCCGGGGGUGAGAAAAAGGUCAGAAGCAGAAAGAAAGG